rnacentral:rRNA from 1 species
UACGUAGGGUGCGAGCGUUAAUCGGAAUUACUGGGCGUAAAGCGUGCGCAGGCGGUUUUGUAAGCCAGAUGUGAAAGCCCCGGGCUUAACCUGGGAAUGGCAUUUGGGACUGCAAGGCUUGAGUGCGGCAGAGGAGACUGGAAUUCCUGGUGUAGCAGUGAAAUGCGUAGAUAUCAGGAGGAACACCGAUGGCGAAGGCAGGUCUCUGGGCUGACACUGACGCUCAUGCACGAAAGCGUGGGGAGCAAACAGG